AAUGACCGCCCGACGGGAAGGGGGGGGCGCGGCCUCCAGGAAGCGCCCCGACUGCACCCGUGUUCCCUCGCUCGGCGGUGCUAAGACGAGCUUGCUCCGAGGAGCUGCAGAUGCUGUUUCAAACGGGUGGAAAUAGUUUCUGGCCUGUCGCUCCUCGUCCCAGCUGCAGCCAGCCAAUGAAAGAUAGACGCAGGGGACCCCCGAGCCAAUGGAAACCUCCCGGCCUGCGGAGGACUUGCCACUGGAAACAUUUAUGGACACCUGGCCAAGAGGCUUCCCUUGGGGGUUGCCUUUCCAGAAGUCCAGGACAGGUGCGUAUCAAGGGCCAAAAUCCCAGGAGCGUGUUCAAGUACUCAUUCUUUAGGAUCAGAGCCCCUGCUGCUUGUAAAGACAUACAAACGCCAUUAUAAAGGGCGAGGGAGCGAAGAAGAAAGGGAGGAGGGCAGGCGGGAAGAAACGUGCUCGCUGACCCGACCAUCGUAGAAGCUGGUGAAGGGUUCCUCCCACUGUCCUAUGCCCUCAGUCAUUUUCCCCGCGAUAAAGUUUAACACCUUGCAUUUGUGUCGUGCUUUACAGUUUCCAGACGGCUUUCACAUGAGUGAUUUAGCUGGUAAUCACUCUAACCUAUAGUACUCAUAGGUAACCAGUGGAGGAAGUGACACUCAGGCGUGUUCAACCAUAUACCCAAAGAGAUGCAGCUGCCAGUGAUAACGGUGGGACUAGAGCUCAGGGGUCCUGACUGCAAACCCAGGGCUCUUUAAAUGCAUCCCAGGAAGGAAACCAGGCCUGCUUUAUGAUUUCUGGUGCCCAGGGCACACCCAGCAAUUAAAAUGAAAUCCAGAAGGAUGAGGUUAAUUUUGUUUCUUAGUCAUCGCUCUUUCAAACUGUCCCCUUGAAACACCGGUUGGCUCUGCCAUUAUACACCUGGGUGUGAAGAAGAGAUGUGACGGACUCACUGCGAGAAAAGCCAGUGCUGGAGGUAAGAACAGAUUGGGGGGGAAAGGGGGUGAAGAUGGGUCACCAACUGUGGCUUUCUUCCUUAGCCAUACCUAUCAUUAGGUCAACUCAAGAUCUGUGGCCCUCUGUCUUCUCUCAUACUGGUUGCCCACUGGAGAGGUAUUUUCUUGUCCCGGGCUCUGCCUGCACAAAAUAGUCUACACCCAAGGGGCCGUCUGAAGCCUGCACCUCGGUCACGGCCACGGUCCCACCCCUGAGGAAACAAAGACACGCCCCCCUCCCACGGCCAUGACAACAUUGUUAAAAUGAGUUUUGCUCCUAGAGGACGGUCACUUCAGCACUCACUGCGUCUCUGCCACAGUCCCAGAUGAAGACUCUGGCGUGUUCAGCAAAGUGGGUAAUCCUCAGUGGUCCCCAAGGCUGAAUGGCCUUCACAGUCAAGCUUUUUAAAAAUGCACAUCACUGAACACGUCUCUGGGUUGGGAUUCAGGAGGUCCUGGAUGUGUGCUAUUUGUUUUGUUUUAUUUUAUUUAUUUAUUUGCUAGAGAGAGAGAGCGAGCCAGAGCACAAGCAGGGGGAGCUGCAGGCAGAGGGAGAAGCAGGCUCCCCGCUGAGCAAGGAGACUGAUAUGGGGCUCCAUCCCAGGACCCUGGGAUCAUGACCUGAGCCGAAGGCAGACUCUUAACCCACUGAGCCACCCAGGCGCCCCUAUUUGUUUUGUUUUAAACACCCUGAAGUGAUUUAGGUGAUCGGCCAGGUUUGGAACGACUUUCAUCUGAAUUGGUGGAUUAUUGGUCAAGCGAGGAGCCUGUCAUUGAGAUGUUCGAAUUGCAUACGAAUGGGCAGAAUGACAACACCAUUCAUAGGAGAGUCCAAAAGGGAACUAAAACUGCUCACGAUGCACGCUGUUCCUCUAGUAACCGCUAGCCACGUGUGGAUCCUGAGCACGGAAAUGGGGCCAGUCCAAACUGAAAUUGCUGUCCAUGUAAACUGCACACUGGAUUUCAAAGACUUUGGAAAAGUAACAGCUAAUGGACACCUUUAGCAUUGAUUAUGUGUUAAAAGAAUAUUUUGGAUCCCCUGAGUUAAAUACAUAAUUAAAAUUCAUUUCACCUGUU